rnacentral:lncRNA from 1 species
GUUAAUGGCUGUGCAAACAAUGAUGUGGUAGGAUAUCAUGACUGAUCAAUGAUAAUAUGGCUGGAUGAUAUGUCUUAUCCAUGCUAGUAUAAUAGAUGACAUGUCGAUUGUUAUGGCUGCUUUAGAUGACAUGGUUAUAAGAAGACACGUAGAAGAUGGUUGUUGCAGCGAGAUUUGGCACUCAGAGAGAAGAUAGCUGA